UCUUCUUUUCCCUCAAUCUGGUCUACAUUCAAUUGGAAUGUUCAAAUUGAACUCUUCCUUUUCUUCCUUUAUAAACCCAACCACCAGAAUCCCAAAUUUCUCAAGCCAAAAAUCAGAAUUGAAAAUCAAACAAAUCUCACUUCCCCUUGUUUUUGUAACUUCGAACCACCACCGCAAACACCACCGCAACCACCGGCUACCACCACUGCCACCUUCGUCCAACACCACACAACCACCCCAACCAUCGUCGCCCCACAGUGCCACCGCACGCACCACCUCCUUCCCUCCCCCUCCUCUCGACACACUCCCCUGUCUCUCCCUUUUCCCCCGCCUCGCUGCACCACCCACACCACUCCCAACUGUCACCACCACCUUGCCAACCAAUCUCAGACUCCCUAUUUCCGGCGAGCCGCAGCCCAAAACCACCCAGAAACACCCCCAAACUUCCCCUGUUUCGCCUACUUUGUGCUUCAUUUCCUCGCUCCCUCGUCGUUCCGCCGCCACCAAACCACCGCCAUCAUCGCCGCCCUUCAUCGUCGAGCCACCCCAGCCAACCUCCUUUCCUCCCUCCUCUUCUCUCCUUCUCUUCGUGUUCUCCCCUCCCCUGUUCCGCGUCCUGCUCCCAGAAAACCAAAAUCAAAUUUUGGUUUUUGGUUAUUUUAUCCUUUAAAACCCACAAUUUAAUUGGGCCAUUCUAGUUUGGGCUUUUGGAAAUUGGAAUCGGAGCUCAGGACGAACGAACCAAGGAAAAUCCUUAGCAAAAUCGCGGAAGUGAGGUACUGCGGGGAACGAUGGAAACGAGUAGUGGCGAGGAAUUUCACUUUAGUAUUAAUCACCUAGUUUAUGCUUAACAUUUUAAUAGUUUAAUUAAGAACUUUUAGUAAGUUAUGUACUUUUAUUUUGGAAUAUAAAGGAUUGUUAUAUUAA